GAUGAACGCUGGCGGCGUGCCUAAUACAUGCAAGUCGAGCGAACAGACGAGGAGCUUGCUCCUCUGACGUUAGCGGCGGACGGGUGAGUAACACGUGGAUAACCUACCUAUAAGACUGGGAUAACUUCGGGAAACCGGAGCUAAUACCGGAUAAUAUAUUGAACCGCAUGGUUCAAUAGUGAAAGACGGUUUUGCUGUCACUUAUAGAUGGAUCCGCGCUGCAUUAGCUAGUUGGUAAGGUAACGGCUUACCAAGGCAACGAUGCGUAGCCGACCUGAGAGGGUGAUCGGCCGCACUGGAACUGAGACACGGUCCAGACUCCUACGGGAGGCAGCAGUAGGGAAUCUUCCGCAAUGGGCGAAAGCCUGACGGAGCAACGCCGCGUGAGUGAUGAAGGUCUUCGGAUCGUAAAACUCUGUUAUUAGGGAAGAACAAAUGUGUAAGUAACUAUGCACGUCUUGACGGUACCUAAUCAGAGAGCCACGGCUAACUACGUG
rnacentral:rRNA from 1 species